rnacentral:rRNA from 1 species
UACGUAGGGUGCGAGCGUUAAUCGGAAUUACUGGGCGUAAAGCGUGCGCAGGCGGUUCGUCGCGUCCGAUGUGAAAGCCCCGGGCUCAACCUGGGAAUGGCAUUGGAAACUGGCGGACUCGAGUGUGGCAGAGGGGGGUGGAAUUCCGCGUGUAGCAGUGAAAUGCGUAGAGAUGCGGAGGAACACCGAUGGCGAAGGCAGCCCCCUGGGCUAACACUGACGCUCAGGCACGAAAGCGUGGGGAGCAAACAGG